GUUCGUGUCCGUUCGUAUGAAAGUCGCCAAUGAAAAUCGAACGGGUCGACCGAGUGGCCAGUACGCGCCGUCGAUGUCGACGUCGACGUUGUGUCGUCCUUUCCUGGUAUUCACCGCUGCCCGGAUCAUUUUCCUGGGGAUGAGGGAAAGGAGAGAAGGACGAAGGCUAUACGUGCUCCGACUCGUGGUUUAUCAUCCUAGUUCCUUUUUGCCCUGAUAAAUUACUAUAUAAUUUACCAGACUGUGCGAAUGUUUAUUAUGCACGAUAAAUAUUCGAGAAACUUAUAACACUUGUGUACAUAAACAAUUUAUCUUUAUACAAAAUAAUGUAAAUGUCUAUUAAAGAUAAAAAAAAAAAAAAAAAGAAUUUAUGUAUAUACAUUACAAUAUGGUAUAAUAAUUUAUUAUUGAUUAUUAGUAAUAAAAAUGAUAUUAUUCAAUUGUUUUUUUUAUAAAGAAAUUAUAAAGUUGAAAUCUAAGGUUCAGGAAAUUAGUUUAUUGAAUUAGCUGAAUGAUGUUUUUGUAAAAAAAAAAAAGAAAAAAAAAAUUACUGACUCUAUACGUAUGUAACGAAUCAAUAAUUGUAUAUCUUUGUUAUCACACAUUCAACGACUUUUUAUGUAUCAAUGAACUUUUAUCUAGAUCCUUGUGGUAAUAAUAAUAAUAAUAAUAAUAAUAAUAAUAAUAAUAAUAAUAAUAAUAAUAAUAAUAAUAAUAAUAAUAAUAAUAAUAAUAACAACAAUAAUAAUAAUAAUAAAUGAAAAGAUUUUAAUUGUUUGUUGAUAAAAACCACACACAAAUACGAUACGAUAACAGUAUCACUUAUUUAUCUGAUGUUAGGCAAUGUUAAACUUGUGAUGAUGAUAACUGAUCGUGGUGAUAACGAUCAUGAUAACAAUGAGGAUAAUAGUCUUAUAAAAAGAAGUACAUACCGACUAAAUAUCAUACAUAGAAAGUUUAAGAACUCCUAAACGAAUCAAAAGAUGUAAAAUAUAUUUAUAUGUUGGUUACUCUGAAAAUUAAAUUAUUAAUGUUGUUAUUGUUAUUGUUGUUGUCGUUAUUGUUCAAGAUUCGUUAUUAAAAUUUCACGAUGAAAAGAUUAAAUUUGUGCUAAAUUUAUAUUCACUCUUAAUGCCUUUAGUUAUUCUGUUGAUUGUAUUGCCAAAGAAUUAAUAUAAUAUAUAUAAUAAUUGAUGAUGACAAAAUAUUAUAAUUGUGGAAAAGGUCGACAUUAAUAUCAUGGCUAUAGAAACAAACGGAUUACAAAGAAUUUUUUUUUAUUUAUUUCAAGCACUGUUUCUUACCUUUGUAAUGUAUAAAAAAAUUUCAAAAUGACACUAAGAACUACUAUCUUUGAACAUUAAUAGUUCCAUUGAAUGCUUAUUUUAGAAAAC